AGGCCCCGGGGGCGGGCCGGGGUCACCACGCCUGCCCCAGGGAACCGCACAGAGUGUACUUCAUGGAGGGAUCCAGCUCUGCGUUGUCCCCCGGUCUGGAUGACCCCAUGUGACCUCUAGAGCAUCCAAUGGCCUUUGGAGCUGCACCCCACCCCUGUGCUCCCCAAUGCUGUGCCAGCUCCUCACUCCAGGGUCCUGCCCAGCCCUGCCC
rnacentral:lncRNA from 1 species